rnacentral:rRNA from 1 species
UACGUAGGGGGCAAGCGUUGUCCGGAUUUAUUGGGCGUAAGGAGCGUGUAGGCGGCCAUACAGGUCCGUUGUGAAAACUGGAGGCUCAACCUCCAGACGUCGACGGAAACCGUAUGGCUAGAGUCCGGAAGAGGAGAGUGGAAUUCCUGGUGUAGCGGUGAAAUGCGCAGAUAUCAGGAAGAACACCCGUGGCGAAGGCGGCUCUCUGGGACGGUACUGACGCUGAGACGCGAAAGCGUGGGGAGCGAACAGG